rnacentral:rRNA from 1 species
UACGUAGGCAGCGAGCGUUGUUGGGAGUUACUGGGCGUAAAGGGUGUGUAGGCGGUUGUUUAAGUUUGGUGUGAAAUCUCCCGGCUCAACUGGGAGGGUGCGCCGAAUACUGAAUGACUAGAGUGCGGGAGAGGUGAGUGGAAUUCCUGGUGUAGCGGUGAAAUGCGUAGAUAUCAGGAGGAACACCGGUGGUGUAGACGGCUCACUGGACCGUAACUGACGCUGAGACACGAAAGCGUGGGUAGCAAACAGG